UUUCAUUUUCAUUUCAAUACUUGUAUAAAUGUAUAGAUAUGUUUUCAAUAAAUAUUACUUGACUUUUCGUUUUCGUGAUUAUCUGGCAUCACAUUUGUUCGCGGAAAUCAAUUUCGCGGAUGCGUCUGCGCAGAGCAAAUUCACUGUCUAGGACACGCAUAUACAUUGUUGAUUUUAUUAUUCCGGCUUACGGGUGUCUGAUAAAUGUGUUAUACACAUUGUUCGAGUAUAAUAUAGUAAUUUGUUGUUGACUUAUUUCGUUUCCUCCAAAGAAGAGUAGCGAAUCGAACAAGCAAGUGUUAUAAAUAUAACGAAUUGGAAUCAGGAAAUAGGGGCCGCACUCAAUUUGCCAAACUUUCGAGAGUACCAAGCUGCACAAUCAACAUAUGAAGGAAUCGAACAAACGACACGUAUAAAUAUUGUAUUAUAAACUGGUAUAAUGAAAUACAGUUAGAAUAAUAACCGGACAUUACCAUUUGGUAUCCACGAA